CGACCUGAGAGGGUGAUCGGCCACACUGGGACUGAGACACGGCCCAGACUCCUACGGGAGGCAGCAGUAGGGAAUCUUCCGCAAUGGACGAAAGUCUGACGGAGCAACGCCGCGUGAGUAAUGAAGGUUUUCGGAUCGUAAAGCUCUGUUGUUAGGGAAGAACAAGUGCGAGAGUAACUGCUCGCACCUUGACGGUACCUAACCAGAAAGCCACGGCUAACUACGUGCCAGCAGCCGCGGUAAUACGUAGGUGGCAAGCGUUGUCCGGAAUUAUUGGGCGUAAAGGGCUCGCAGGCGGUUUCUUAAGUCUGAUGUGAAAGCCCCCGGCUCAACCGGGGAGGGUCAUUGGAAACUGGGAAACUUGAGUGCAGAAGAGGAGAGUGGAAUUCCACGUGUAGCGGUGAAAUGCGUAGAGAUGUGGAGGAACACCAGUGGCGAAGGCGACUCUUUGGUCUGUAACUGACGCUGAGGAGCGAAAGCGUAGGGAGCGAACAGGAUUAGAUACCCUGGUAGUCCACGCCGUAAACGAUGAGUGCUAAGUGUUAGGGGG
rnacentral:rRNA from 1 species